CCUACGGGUGGCAGCAGUGAGGAAUAUUGGUCAAUGGACGCAAGUCUGAACCAGCCAAGCCGCGUGCAGGAUGACGGCCCUAUGGGUUGUAAACUGCUUUUGUCAGGGAAUAAAUGCGGGUACGUGUCCCGGGUUGAGUGUAUCUUAAGAAAAAGGAUCGGCUAACUCCGGGCCAGCAGCCGCGGUAAUACGGAGGAUGCGAGCGUUAUCCGGAUUUAUUGGGUUUAAAGGGUGCGUAGGCGGUCCGAUAAGUUAGCGGUGAAAGCCCGGGGCUCAACCCCGGAACUGCCGUUGAUACUGUCGGGCUAGAGUUGAGUUGAGGUAGGCGGAAUGCAUGGUGUAGCGGUGAAAUGCAUAGAUAUC
rnacentral:rRNA from 1 species